GGACCCGCACAAGCGGUGGAGCAUGUGGUUUAAUUCGAAGCAACGCGAAGAACCUUACCAAGUCUUGACAUCCUUCUGACCGGCUCUUAGUCGAGCCUUCUCUUCGGAGCAGAAGUGACAGGUGGUGCAUGGUUGUCGUCAGCUCGUGUCGUGAGAUGUUGGGUUAAGUCCCGCAACGAGCGCAACCCUUAUUGCUAGUAGCCAGCAGGUUAAGCUGGGCACUCUAGUGAGACUGCCGGAGACAAUCCGGAGGAAGGUGGGGAUGACGUCAAAUCAUCAUGCCCCUUAUGACUUGGGCUACACACGUGCUACAAUGGUGAUAACAAAGUGAAGCAAACUCGUGAGAGUAAGCCAACCACAAAAAUGUCAUCUCAGUUCGGAUUGUAGUCUGCAACUCGACUACAUGAAGCUGGAAUCGCUAGUAAUCGCAGAUCAGAAUGCUGCGGUGAAUACGUUCCCGGGUCUU
rnacentral:rRNA from 1 species